rnacentral:piRNA from 1 species
UUCAUCCCGGAUAAGAACAUC